ACUCCUACGGGAGGCAGCAGUGGGGAAUAUUGGACAAAUGGGGAAACCCGUAGCAUCCAGCCAUGCCGCGUGUGUGAAGAAAGGCCCUUCGGGUUGUAAAAGCACUUUCAGUGGGGAGGAAAGGUUGAUGGUUAAUACCUAUCAGCUGUGACGUUACCCACAGAAGAAGCACCGGCUAACUCCGUGCCAGCAGCCGCGGUAAUACGGAGGGUGCAAGCGUUAAUCGGAAUUACUGGGCGUAAAGCGUGCGCAGGCGGUCUGUUAAGCGAGAUGUGAAAGCCCC
rnacentral:rRNA from 1 species